rnacentral:lncRNA from 1 species
UUGUGAGAAUCACCUACAUAUCAGAAUCAUACUUGCAACUGAAAAUCAAUCACACAACUCAAAAUCAAUCAACAACUCAAAAUCAAUCUCACAACUCAAAAUCAAUAUUGUAGAGAGUUAUGAAAUAUAAUAUAAUAAAAAAUAUAAUAUAAAAAAUUUAUUAUAAUAAAAAAUAUAAUAUAAAAAAUUUAAUUAUUAUAUAAAAAAUAUAAUAUAAAUAAAAUUA